AGGACGAACGCUGGCGGCAUGCCUAACACAUGCAAGUCGAACGGGGGUAGCAAUACCCUAGUGGCGAACGGGUGAGUAACACAUAAGCAAUCUGCCCUUCACAGGGGAUAACAGCGGGAAACUGCUGCUAAUACCGCAUAAGACCACAGUACCGCAUGGUACAGGGGUAAAAACGAAUCAGUGGUGAAGGAUGAGCUUAUGUCCCAUUAGCUAGUUGGUGAGAUAACAGCCCACCAAGGCGACGAUGGGUAGCCGACCUGAGAGGGUGAUCGGCCACACUGGAACUGAGACACGGUCCAGACUCCUACGGGAGGCAGCAGUGGGGAAUAUUGGGCAAUGGAGGAAAAACCUCUUACCCAGCAAUGCCGCGUGAGUGAAGAAGGUCUUCGGAUUGUAAAGCUCUUUGAUUGGGGACGAAGAAAGUGACGGUACCCAAAGAACAAGCCCCGGCUAACUACGUGCCAGCCGCAGC
rnacentral:rRNA from 1 species